AUUGAACGCUGGCGGCAGGCCUAACACAUGCAAGUCGGACGAGUGGCGGACGGGUGAGUAAUGUCUGGGAAACUGCCUGAUGGAGGGGGAUAACUACUGGAAACGGUAGCUAAUACCGCAUACCAUCAGAUGUGCCCAGAUGGGCUUGGCUUGUUGGUGGGGUAACGGCUCACCAAGGCGACGAUCCCUAGCUGGUCUGAGAGGAUGACCAGCCAAACUGGAACUGAGACACGGUCCAGACUCCUACGGGGGGCAGCAGGGGGGAAUAUUGCACAAUGGGCGAAAGCCUGAUGAAGCCAUGCCGCGUGUAUGAAGAAGGUCUUCGGAUUGUAAAGCACUUUAAGUUGGGAGGCGUUACCAACAGAAUAAGCACCGGAUAACUUCGUGCCAGCAGCCGCGGUAAUA
rnacentral:rRNA from 1 species